ACGAACGCUGGCGGCGUGCCUAACACAUGCAAGUCAAGGUGCUCUUCGGAGCAACUGGCGAACGGGUGAGUAACACGUAGGUAAUCAACCCCCAUCUGGGACAUAACGUCGGGAAACUGGCGCUAAUAUCCCAUAAUACCUUAGGGUUAAAGUUUCGACGGAUGAGGACGAGCCUGCGUCUGAUUAGCUAGUUGGUAAGGUAAAAGCUUACCAAGGCGACGAUCAGUAGCUGGUCUGAGAGGAUGGUCAGCCACACUGGAACUGAGACACGGUCCAGACUCCUACGGGAGGCAGCAGUGAGGAAUUUUGCACAAUGGGCGAAAGCCUGAUGCAGCGACGCCGCGUGAGGGAUGAAGGAGUUUUGCUCUGUAAACCUCUGUCGGGAGAGACUAAAAGCCUGUUUUACGGGCUGGGACGGUAUCUCCAAAGGAAGCACCGGCUAACUACGU
rnacentral:rRNA from 1 species